CUACUGCUGAUGAGACCAACCAGGUCGAAACAGCUGUCCAGUGC
rfam:Echinostoma caproni strain Egypt genome assembly, scaffold: ECPE_scaffold0001379